rnacentral:rRNA from 1 species
UACGUAGGCAGCGAGCGUUGUUCGGAGUUACUGGGCGUAAAGCGUGCGUAGGCGGUGUCUUAAGUUUGUUGUGAAAUCUCCCGGCUUAACCGGGAGGGUGCGGCGAAUACUGAGAUGCUGGAGUGCCGGAGAGGUAAGCGGAAUUCCUGGUGUAGCGGUGAAAUGCGUAGAUAUCAGGAAGAACACCCGUGGCUAAGGCGGCUCUCUAGUACGGUACUGACGCUGAGACGCGAAAGCGUGGGGAGCGAACAGG